rnacentral:rRNA from 1 species
CAAAUUGAGAGUUUGAUCCUGGCUCAGGACGAACGCUGGCGGCGUGCCUAAUACAUGCAAGUCGAGCGAGCUGAAUUCAAAGAUCCCUUCGGGGUGAUUUGUUGGAUGCUAGCGGCGGAUGGGUGAGUAACACGUGGGCAAUCUGCCCUAAAGACUGGGAUACCACUUGGAAACAGGUGCUAAUACCGGAUAACAACACGAAUCGCAUGAUUCAAGUUUGAAAGGCGGCGCAAGCUGUCACUUUAGGAUGAGCCCGCGGCGCAUUAGCUAGUUGGUGGGGUAAAGGCCUACCAAGGCAAUGAUGCGUAGCCGAGUUGAGAGACUGAUCGGCCACAUUGGGACUGAGACACGGCCCAAACUCCUACGGGAGGCAGCAGUAGGGAAUCUUCCACAAUGGACGNAAGUCUGAUGGAGCAACGCCGCGUGAGUGAAGAAGGUUUUCGGAUCGUAAAGCUCUGUUGUUGGUGAAGAAGGAUAGAGGCAGUAACUGGUCUUUAUUUGACGGUAAUCAACCAGAAAGUCACGGCUAACUACGUGCCAGCAGCCGCGGUAAUACGUAGGUGGCAAGCGUUGUCCGGAUUUAUUGGGCGUAAAGCGAGCGCAGGCGGAAUGAUAAGUCUGAUGUGAAAGCCCACGGCUCAACCGUGGAACUGCAUCGGAAACUGUCAUUCUUGAGUGCAGAAGAGGAGAGUGGAACUCCAUGUGUAGCGGUGGAAUGCGUAGAUAUAUGGAAGAACACCAGUGGCGAAGGCGGCUCUCUGGUCUGCAACUGACGCUGAGGCUCGAAAGCAUGGGUAGCGAACAGGAUUAGAUACCCUGGUAGUCCAUGCCGUAAACGAUGAGCGCUAGGUGUUGGGGACUUUCCGGUCCUCAGUGCCGCAGCAAACGCAUUAAGCGCUCCGCCUGGGGAGUACGACCGCAAGGUUGAAACUCAAAGGAAUUGACGGGGGCCCGCACAAGCGGUGGAGCAUGUGGUUUAAUUCGAAGCAACGCGAAGAACCUUACCAGGUCUUGACAUCCUG